CCCUUAGACGUUCUGGGCUGCACGCGCGCUACACUGAUGCACUCAACGAGUUUACGACCUUGCCCGAUAGGGUUGGGUAAUCUUUUUAAAAUGCAUCGUGAUGGGGAUAGAUUAUUGCAAUUAUUAAUCUUCAACGAGGAAUUCCUAGUAAGCGCGAGUCAUCAGCUCGUGCUGAUUACGUCCCUGCCCUUUGUACACACCGCCCGUCGCUCCUACCGAUUGAGUGCUCAGGUGAAUAAUUCGGACUGCAGCAAUGUUUGGAUCCCGAACGUUGCAGCGGAAAGUUUAGUGAACCUUAUCACUUAGAGGAAGGAGAAGUCGUAACA
rnacentral:rRNA from 1 species